ACCCCCAAAAAAUAAUUGUUAUGCCCCUGGUAGGGUGGCAUAGAGCAGUUGAACUGUCCGUCAGUAUGUAAGUCAGUCUGUCUGUCCGUCGGAAAUAAGUUUAACAUUGGCCAUAACUUUUUCACUUUUUAAGAUAGCAACUUGAUAUUUGGCAUGCAUGUGUAUCUCAUGGAGCUGCAAAUUUUGAGUGGUGAAAGGUGAAGGUCAUCCUUCAAGAUCAAAUGUCAAAUAUACGGCGUCUGUCCGUCUGAAAACUUUAACAUUGGCCAUAACUUUUUUUAAUAUUGAAGAUAGCAACUUGAUAUUUGGCAUGCAUGUGUAUCUCAUGAGGCUACACAUUUUGAAUGGUGGAAGUUCAAGGUCAAGGUCAUCCUUUAAGGUCAACAAAAAUUAAUUCAAAGCGGCGUUCUCAUGAAGCUGCACAUUUUGAGUGGUGGAAGUUCAAGGUCAUCCAUCAAGGUCUUCCUUCAAGUUAGAAAAAAACAAAUAAAAAAAUUCAAAGCGGCGUUAUCAUGAAGCUGCACAUUUUGAGUGGUGGAAGUUCAAGGUCAUUCUUCAAGGUCAAGGUCAUCCUUGGAGGUCAAAGGUCAAAAAAAAAAAUUCAAAGCGGCGUUAUCAUGAAGCUGAUCAAUUUGAGUUGUGUAGGUUCAAGGUCAAGGUCAUCUGUCAAGGUCAUCCUUCAAGGUCAAACAAAUUUUUAAAAAAUCAAAGCGGCGUUAUCAUGAAGCUUUACAUUUUGAGUGGUGGAAGUUCAAGGUCACGGUCAUCCUUCAAGGUCAAAUUAUUUUUUUUUUAAAUCAAAGCGGUGUUCUCAUGAAGCUGCACAUUUUGAGUGGUGUAGGUUCAAGGUCAUCCUUCAAGGUCAAGGUCAUCGUUCAAGGUCAAAGAUCAAAAACAUAAUAUUUUUAAAGCGGCCUUCUCAUAAAGCUGCACAUUUUGAGUGGUGGAAGGUCAAGGUCAUCCUUCAAGGUCAAAGGUAAAAAAAAAAUCAAAGCGGCACAAUAGGGGUUAUUUAGGGGGUUUUCAGCACUGUCUGCGCCUCCGGAAAAUGGAGGCGCUGCCAAAGCAAACAGACCUGAUCCCAGAAUUUUUUUUUGUAGACUAUGACUAUUAGAUUAUUAAUGUCCAGCUGAUGUGCGUCAUACCGGCAAUCACUGCUGUGGUUGAGCAAGGAUUCAGCACCAUGAACCUGCUGUGCUCCCUAUUAUGCGGCACAUUCACACAAACCAAACAUUUACUCAUCUGAUGCUUACCUGCAUUGAAGGUCUAGAUCUGAAUGACAAAACAUUGGAGGACCUGUGUGAUGCUUUCAAAAACAGAAAGGAGAGAAAAAUUAUGCUGUAACUUGUGUGACUAACCAGUGUUUAUCUUUGUAAAAAAUAUCUGCUAUAAGUUUUUGACUGUACAGUUCUUAUCUCAGAGUGUAACUGUAACUGAAAAACAAAAUUGCAGUACUUGAAUAAACGUUGAUCAUG